GACGAACCGAGCGAACGUUAUUCGGAAUCACUGGGCUUAAAGGGCGCGUAGGCGGGUCAGCAAGUCAGGGGUGAAAUCCCACGGCUCAACCGUGGAAGUGCCUUUGAUACUGUUGAUCUCGAGGGAGGUAGGGGCGUGCGGAACUUCCGGUGGAGCGGUGAAAUGCAUAGAUAUCGGAAGGAACACCGGUGGCGAAAGCGGCGCGCUGGACCUCUUCUGACGCUGAGGCGCGAAAGCCAGGGGAGCAAACGGG
rnacentral:rRNA from 1 species